CCUACGGGAGGCAGCAGUGAGGAAUAUUGGUCAAUGGUCGGGAGACUGAACCAGCCAAGCCGCGUGAGGGAGGACGGUACUGAGUAUCGUCAACCUCUUUUGUCAGGGAACAAAGACUGGGACGCGUCCCCGGAUGAGUGUACCCGAAGCAAAAGCAUCGGCUAACUCCGUGCCAGCAGCCGCGGUAAUACGGAGGAUGCUAGCGUUAUCCGGAUUUAUUGGGUUUAAAGGGUGCGCAGGCGGUCUGUUAAGUCAGCGGUAAAAGCCAGGGGCUCAACCCCGGCCCGCCGUUGAAACUGGCAGUCUCGAGUGGGAGAGAAGUAUGCGGAAUGCGCGGUGUAGCGGUGAAAUGCAUAGAUAUCGUGCAGAACUCCGAUUGCGAAGGCAGCAUGCCGGCUCCACACUGACGCUGAGGCACGAAAGCGUGGGUAUCGAACAGGAUUAGAUACCCGGGUAGUC
rnacentral:rRNA from 1 species